GGCGGACGGGUGAGUAACACGUGGGUAACCUGCCCUCUAGUGGGGGAUAACAUUUGGAAACAGAUGCUAAUACCGCAUAGAUCCAAGAACCGCAUGGUUCUUGGCUGAAAGAUGGCGUAAGCUAUCGCUUUUGGAUGGACCCGCGGCGUAUUAGCUAGUUGGUGAGGUAACGGCUCACCAAGGCGAUGAUACGUAGCCGAACUGAGAGGUUGAUCGGCCACAUUGGGACUGAGACACGGCCCAAACUCCUACGGGAGGCAGCAGUAGGGAAUCUUCCACAAUGGACGCAAGUCUGAUGGAGCAACGCCGCGUGAGUGAAGAAGGCUUUCGGGUCGUAAAACUCUGUUGUUGGAGAAGAAUGGUCGGCAGAGUAACUGUUGUCGGCGUGACGGUAUCCAACCAGAAAGCCACGGCUAACUACGUGCCAGCAGCCGCGGUAAUACGUAGGUGGCAAGCGUUAUCCGGAUUUAUUGGGCGUAAAGCGAGCGCAGGCGGUUUUUUAAGUCUGAUGUGAAAGCCCUCGGCUUAACCGAGGAAGCGCAUCGGAAACUGGGAAACUUGAGUGCAGAAGAGGACAGUGGAACUCCAUGUGUAGCGGUGAAAUGCGUAGAUAUAUGGAAGAACACCAGUGGCGAAGGCGGCUGUCUGGUCUGUAACUGACGCUGAGGCUCGAAAGCAUGGGUAGCGAACAGGAUUAGAUACCCUGGUAGUCCAUGCCGUAAACGAUGAAUGCUAGGUGUUGG
rnacentral:rRNA from 1 species